UACGAAGGGGGCUAGCGUUGUUCGGAAUCACUGGGCGUAAAGGGCGCGUAGGCGGCUUUGUAAGUCGGGGGGUGAAAGCCUGUGGCUCAACCACAGAAUUGCCUUCGAUACUGCAUGGCUUGAGACCGGAAGAGGUAAGUGGAACUGCGAGUGUAGAGGUGAAAUUCGUAGAUAUCGGGAGGAACACCAGUGGCGAAGGGCGGCGAUCUGGGAAGGA
rnacentral:rRNA from 1 species